UACGGUUAUAUGACGUUGAAACAUUGGUUCCCAUACGAUCACCGAAGUUAAGCAACGCAGAGCCUGGUCAGUACCUAGAUGUGUAACCGCUUGAGCAUACCAGAUGCUGUAA